rnacentral:rRNA from 1 species
UACGUAGGGUGCGAGCGUUGUCCGGAAUUAUUGGGCGUAAAGAGCUCGUAGGCGGCUCGUCGCGUCGACCGUGAAAACCCGCAGCUCAACUGUGGGCUUGCAGCUGAUACGGGCAGGCUUGAGUUCGGUAGGGGAGACUGGAAUUCCUGGUGUAGCGGUGAAAUGCGCAGAUAUCAGGAGGAACACCGGUGGCGAAGGCGGGUCUCUGGGCCGAUACUGACGCUGAGGAGCGAAAGCGUGGGGAGCGAACAGG